rnacentral:rRNA from 1 species
AUUGAACGCUGGCGGCAGGCUUAACACAUGCAAGUCGAGCGAGUGGCGGACGGGUGAGUAAUGUCUGGGAAACUGCCUGAUGGAGGGGGAUAACUACUGGAAACGGUAGCUAAUACCGCAUACCAUCGGAUGUGCCCAGAUGGGAUUAGCUAGUAGGUGGGGUAACGGCUCACCUAGGCGACGAUCCCUAGCUGGUCUGAGAGGAUGACCAUCCACACUGGAACUGUGACACGGUCCAGACUCCUACGGGAGGCAGCAGUGGGGAAUAUUGCACAAUUGGCGCGAGCCUGAUGCAGCCAUGCCGCUUGUAUGAAGAAGUCCUUCGGGUUGUAAAGUACUUUCAGCGGGGAGGCGUUACCCGCAGAAGAAGCACCGGCUAACUCCGUGCCAGCAGCCGCGGUAAUUC